rnacentral:rRNA from 1 species
CAGUAGCCGCGGGAAUACGAGGGGGGCAAGCGUUGUUCGGAAUUAUUGGGCGUAAAGGGCGCGUAGGCGGUUUGGCAAGUUUGGUGUGAAAUCUUCGGGCUCAACUCGAAGUCUGCACCGAAAACUGCCGGGCUUGAGUAUGGGAGAGGUGAGUGGAAUUUCCGGUGUAGCGGUGAAAUGCGUAGAUAUCGGAAGGAACACCUGUGGCGAAAGCGGCUCACUGGACCAUUACUGACGCUGAGGCGCGAAAGCUAGGGGAGCAAACAGGAUUAGAUACCCGCGUAGUCCCUGUCUCUUAUAC